GGUAGAGGUAAUUUGGGAGAUUUUCUGAGAGGGGAAAGUCAUCACUGGGGAUCUGCAGAGAAACUCAUCCUUGUUUUGAUGCAGGAAAUUUGGGAUCUCCUCCAUCAAUUUCCCUGUUUUACUACAGGAAAUUUGGGAUCUCCUCCAAAAGAAAGAAAAUCAGUCACCCCACCAAACUCUGCUCUGAGGAGAAACACAUCCCUGUUUUGUUACAGGAAAUUCGGGACCUCCUCCACCAGUUUCCCUGUUUAUCCCUCUUUUGAUGCAGGAAAUUUGGGAUCUCCUCCA